UCAGCGAUAAAAACACAACGUAUAGAAAUAUGCAGAGUCGGUAGGUAGUCCGUCCAUACCAUUUGUGGUAUAAGUAGCCCUCCCUCCUUGGGUCGUCCAUUCGCUGUUCAUAU
rnacentral:ncRNA from 1 species